rnacentral:lncRNA from 1 species
CUUAAUAUCGAAGGGGUACAUGUGUUCAUAUAGGAGGACAACCUCCACUAAACCCUAGAUAACUUGGACUCUAACUUGGACUCUAAUAUAACUUGGACUCUAAGAUAGUUAAGAUAACUUGGGCUAAGCCCGUAAUUAACCCUGCCCAUUGGGCCUCCUCCAUUGGUACGUUGUACCGGUCAUAACAUCUCUCCCCGCCUUCUCAAACAGCUCGUCCUCGAG